AUCGCCUGGGCAUCUUGUUGGAAAGCAGAUCUUGUUUCAAUAGAUCUAGAGUGGAGCCCAAGUUCUGCCUUUUCAACAAGUUCCCGGGUGAUGCCAA
rfam:Homo sapiens chromosome 3, GRCh38 reference primary assembly.